rnacentral:rRNA from 1 species
UGGGGAAUAUUGGACAAUGGGGGAAACCCUGAUCCAGCCAUGCCGCGUGAAUGAUGAAGGCCUUCGGGUUGUAAAGUUCUUUUGACGGGGACGAUGAUGACGGUACCCGUAGAAUAAGCUCCGGCUAACUUCGUGCCAGCAGCCGCGGUAAUACGAAGGGAGCUAGCGUUGUUCGGAAUUACUGGGCGUAAAGGGCGCGUAGGCGGUUUUAUAAGUCAGGUGUGAAAGCCCUGGGCUCAACCCAGGAACUGCGCUUGAUACUGUAGAACUUGAAUUCGGUAGAGGUGAGUGGAAUUCCCAGUGUAGAGGUGAAAUUCGUAGAUAUUGGGAAGAACAUCCGUGGCGAAGGCGGCUCACUGGACCGACAUUGACGCUGAGGCGCGAAAGCGUGGGGAGCAAA